UAUCUCUCCGUACGGGGAAGGAUGAGAAGCUUCGACUAAGGUUCGAUUCGAGCGCAGCGAGAAAGCGUUGCCGCAGGCAACGACCCGAAGGGUGAGGACCAGAGCGACGAAUAAUCCUUCCCCCACCAUCA
rnacentral:sRNA from 1 species